UCGGAAGUCCAAUGGACUGGCCCAAGAGCCCAGUUCAGAAGUAAUAAUCUUUUUCGCCACCCCAAAUUAUCAUUUGCGCUAUAAAUAAAUCAAGUUAGCGAGAUUUCGAGUAGGAUUAAAAGUUUGAGUUAACUUGAUUUGUUGUUUUGAAAUGAAGACGACUCAAGUAUAAUUUUAAAUCAAACUCAAUCUUAUUUACGUUUACCUCAUCAAAGAAUGCAAAGUCAUUUAUUUAAUAAGUUUAUAUACAGGUAAUUUUAAAUUUAUUGUCUUAAAUUUAAAAUUUGGUAUGAUAUAAAUCUAUAUAUGAUAAAUUCAAAAAAAAAAAUUCGAUUGACUGGAUUUAUUUUCUAAAUAAAUCAAGUUUGAAUUAAACUUUAUAACCAAAAAAACGUUAGAUUUAAAAAAAAUUAUAACAGGUUAAAUUUAAAUGAUUUAAAAUUCAACUUACCUAACCCCAACAAAAUUUUGAAUACUUUCUCUGUUAUUUCGGUAGGAAUCCAAAGGAAAAAAUAAAAUAAAGUUGCAGUCGAUUAAAAGAGAAGCAUUCAGCAUAUUAUAAUUAUUUGAAUCUCUAGGGGCCAAAGUAAUCAAGUUUACGAAGCACUUGAAUAAGUAGAUUAACGGCAUAAAGCACAUCAGGAUUUGCCAUCUCUUGUUUGUCUCUCUCUCUGUAGGUAGAAGAUUGAAAAUGGAACUAAAACAUUUCAUUUUUAGGCAAAAAAAAUUGGUGGCGAAGGAUAAGUGUUGAGAGGAGGGAGGUUUAAAUCAAAACCAGCCCAUUAGCUUCAUGCAGAAUUAAAGCUACACGAAUCUUUUCCUAAUUCUUUCCAGUAGAGAACUCCACACCAUUGCUUUCUUUUAUUUAUAAAUUAAAUCGAAUUAAUUUAUUAAAAUUUUUAAUAAAAAUUAAAAAGUCAACUGAAUUGAAAAUAAAAUAAAUUUAAAUCAAAAUUUUAAAUUGAUUCGACUCGGUGUUAUUUCGAUUUAAACCAUGCUGAAAUUCAAUCUGAACUAAAAAUUCAAAAAUCUUACCUUUUUUUUUCUUGAUUACAGGAGCAUAGAAGCAAUGAAGAAGCACCAAACUAACAAAGACAAGAAUGAGCAGAGACGCAACCAAAGGUCAAGACAGCCAACUACCAGGAGGGGAGCGUGAAGGAGCUUCACUUCUGGAUGAAUGGGCUAAAAGAAUGAGAUGAGAAGGGGGAGACUAGUUCAAGAUGAGAGAGAGCUGAGAGGUGAAAACUAACUGAUUAUUAACGAUAUAUAGAGAAUAAGAUGAAGAUUGAGGAGAAGAGUGUUAAGGAGCAAGUAUUUGGGCUGUGAUGGCGAGAACUUGGUGGUGACAAAGCCAACUUGGUGGCUGAGGGACUUAUUGGUGAGGAAUAGGGCAUGAUGAGUGGGUGGAGAAAUGCAAUAGUAGAAGCUUAUAAAGCUAUUGAAGUUGGGGGAAUGUGGGAAAGGGAUUAGGGAUUUUUUACUUAUCCCCAGUCUGAUUUUGUGCUAUAUAUACAUAUAUUACUCGAUUCAGUUUUUGCAGUUUCCUUUAAAAAACCGACCCAAGCUGAAAUAAAACAAUAUUAGAAUAUGAAAUUGCACUAAAUUGUUUAUACUAAAAUCACAC
rnacentral:lncRNA from 1 species